UUCAGUGCUAAAAAGAAAUGAGCUAGGAUCUCGUCUGAUCUCGGAAACCAAGCAGAUUUGGGCCUGGUUAGUAGUACUUGGUUGGGAGACCACCUAGGAAGACCAGGUGCCGUAGGUG
rnacentral:rRNA from 1 species